GAUUAUGGCUCAGGAUGAACGCUGGCGGCGUGCCUAAUACAUAGCAAGUCGAACGAGGUAGCAAUACCGAGUGGCGAACGGGUGAGUAACACGUAGGUAACCUGCCCUUAAGCUUGGGAUACCCAGAGGAAACUUUGGCUAAUACCGGAUAACAACAGAGAAGGCAUCUUCUUUGCUUGAAAGGCCCCUUCAAGGGUCACUUAAGGAUGGACCUGCGGCGCAUUAGCUAGUUGGUGAGAUAACAGCCCACCAAGGCGAGGAUGCGUAGCCGAACUGAGAGGUUGAUCGGCCACAUUGGAACUGAGACACGGUCCAAACUCCUACGGGAGGCAGCAGUAAGGAGUUUUCGGCAAUGGGGGAAACCCUGACCGAGCAACGCCGCGUGAGCGAUGACGGCCCUAUGGGUUGUUAAAAAGCUCUGUUGUAAGCCAUGAAUGACAGCUUGAGGAAAUGCAAGUUGUUUGACGACAGCUUACCAGAAAGCCACGGCUAACUACGUGCCAGCAGCAGC
rnacentral:rRNA from 1 species